AAAAUAAAUUAUAUAAAAUAGACCCUUCACUGUCUGCAUACCUGAAUUCAUGGUAGGUAUGGUCCGGGCAGUAACUGACACAAGAAGGAAUCUGGUGCUUAUUAGUUUCCAUACCCAUAUUAAGAAAUGGUUCAGGUGAGGACAAUGAGUCAAAUAGUUACUGUCACAAAGGUGAUAUGGAGAUGAAAAUGAAUCCAAUUUUUUAAAAAUAAUUAUGUUUGAUUAACUUAAAUUAGAUUUGGAUAUUUUUUUAUUGUAAUUGUUGUGGAUAACAUGAUAUGAUUGAUACCUCGACGUUAGAUGAUCAACGAUGCUAGAUAAUCGAUACUUUAGUGCUUGAUGAUUGGGUGGUUGACACCAUGACCUUACGCGCUUGACACCUCAGUGCCAAUCUCAAUUAGCAAAUUGAUUAUCUUAUAGUGUAUGAUUAGUGUAUAUAUUUGAACAUUAUCUGUAGCACAGUGAUAUUUAUAUCUGAGAUCAACACAUCAUAUUUCCCAUGAGCAACAUGCAAUACAAAAGUAACGGUUACAGAAGGCUACUAUAGAAGUGCUCAAUAGAUAUGUCUUAGACACAUGAUUUUUAAUAUGUUUGAAUUAUUCGAUUUAUUGACUUAAACAUUGUAGAGAUAUUAUCAAAAAUAUUCUCGACCUAAAUUUUUGGGGAUUCGGCUAUAGUUCAAUUUGGGACUUACUCGGAGAAAAGAAUCAAUUGGAUUCAAACCAAUCUUGAUCUUGGACAAUCAAAAUUUAACUUAACAAUAAUUAAAAUAGAUUUUUUCAGAUUUUUUCGGGUUCCUUUGUCCAUCCGACUCAUUUAAAUUAGAUUAUAAUUGACAUAUGGGCACAAUUAGGUAGUCAAAUAUAGGUUAAGAUAAUUGCCAUUUUAUUCAUUGUCAUUUUUCGUUUCCUUUAUCCAUCCGAGUCACGGUCUCAGUUAGGACAAUAAUACACCUCAUCGAACUGGAGUGGCUAUAUUGACAGUCGAGUUCGAGUGAGACAUGCACGCAUCCCUCCAUGUUCUCACAGCCUUCCGUGCCGACUUGCUGUGCCGCUGCAUUAUUGGGCGGGGCGGUUUGUUUCUAAUCAUUGUCACCUUUGUGAAAUGCAUCGAUAGGUCUCCCCACAACCAUAGUAUCCCUACUUUCCGUUUCUGUACUUUUAAUUUCGGCAUUCAUAAACCUUUUCAUUACGAUGGUUCAGUAUUUGUAUGCAAUUAGGGAAGCAGGCCUAACGUUGUGAGCGGCCUGCCUGUCUGCAAAUGGCCCUCGGACGAGCGGCCAUGAUGUGACACCCAUAUGCCUACGGUGUACGUGAGACCUAGGUCAUGUCACGCAACAGUCAAACAGUUUUCCGGGUACGCUGUUGCCCGUGGCUGUUUGAUGCACCGCUCGUCUAACGAAAUCUACGAUCCUGAGAGACAGAAUUAGCCGCAUCGUAAAAGGGCUCCAAAUAUGCUGGUUAUUUUAUCAGUGUUAUUUUCUGACGGAACGUAACAUCAAAUACUAUAUCCAUGACAGGUUAUUUUGUGUUUUAUUCUUUUGUAGACGCAAGUUGUUUAGCUUCUUAAACGUGUUUUAUUUUUGUCAGUCAAAUUUAAGAUCUAGUUCUGUGAUCUGAGGAUCGCACCAGUCCUAAUUUUAUAGAGCAUCUUUUUCGAUUAAGUGACAACGAGAUGGUUUUAUCGUAAGUGUGAUGUAUGGGUGACGACGCCACAUUAAGAGUAAUGUUUAGUGUUAGAUUUGCAGUGCCAGAACGGACCGCAAGGGCUUAAAGCCUGUGCAGGCAUUAGACGACGAGAUCUGCUUUCCCGUUUCCUGCUACUCAUACAAAUCACGUACCAUACUAUAGUAAUCACCGCAUCAACUUCAUUUGCCAGUGCUAGAAAUCUUGGUAUAUAAAGGCCGACGUGCCUUUCUGCCUGACAUUACAAUGACUUUGUUGCCCUUGUGAUCCAAAAAUGGAGUCUACACAGGGAUAGAGACGAGAGCACACUGCUAAUUCGGUGAAAAGAGAUGUAAAAGCAGCCUAGCCUAGGGACUUGAAUCCUAGGCAACGCCCUACGACCACUAGGAUGUGGCCAUGUGGGAUUCUGUAGCACUUUUUCUCGCAAUCUAUUUAAACCCUCCGUUCUUCUCAACGAGCCCGGACGAGAAAGAGAAGCAUUCUGGAGCUUGAUGUUUCCAUUAGUCUAAGGUUGGUUAUGUUAUGCGCACUUGUUCCUCUUUGCUGGGGUGAUCUCUCACUGACGGUCAAGCUAGUAGGGAAAUAUGAGGGUAAAAGCCAAUUUCUUAUAACGACGAGUCUGAAUUGAGUUUCAUGUUAUCAUCAAAGCUUGCAUUGAGUUUGUGGCUGUUUUGCGCAUUAGAUUUUGAGUUGGGUGCAAAAUAAAUUCAACAGUAGCCAGGAGAGGAAGAGAUUCGACGCUGGUUCGAGUUCCACUUCUCGUAAGUGAUGCUUCAUAUAUGAUUGCUGCUUCACUCUCUUUUAGGCUUUCCUUUUUUUUUUUUCUGAUGGGUGGUGUGGUUCAGCAUUAAUUGCCACUUGAUGUGAGUGACAAAUUGUUUUUAGCUAUCUUCCUUAAAAGAACUCUUACCUAUAAUCAACAGGAUCUGUGUUUUCCCAGUUAGUUGCUUCAACAAAACCAUCAAUGAUCCCGGCAAAGUUCCAUUCUUCUUGUUCUGACAUCAGAUGCUACUGAUGUUACUGCUGAGUUGCUUGUUUGCUUAGGUGCUUCGAUCCCGGAUGUUCGUAAAGAACUCGGCAACUGCCUGCAUACAUUGUUGGCGAUCGGGACACUCGGCGACGCGCAUACGAAAGAAGACCCACAAAGACAUGAUGAUCCCUACUUGGAUACUUCAGAAGAUUUGCCUUGUUUCACCAUUGAAGAAGCCAAGGAACUACAAAAAGAGCUGGCGAAGCUACUGACCCGAAAGCUGAAAUAUAGCGCUCAUGGAUCAGAGAUUGCCAAUGACGACAGAGCUAACAGAUUCCUCGGUCGCUCAUUGCGGCCGGAGGCUGACGAAGCCACGAGCUUCCUGCUCGAGAAUUCGGAAGACGUCAACCGUGGCGACCUGUCCCCCGAUACCAGGAUCAUACUGCACAAACUGGAAGAUGCGUUAUCGUGCAACUACACUGCGAUCAAAAAGGAAUCGCUCUCGUUUCUUCUCAAGAGGAUGUUUGUUUGUGGACGUGGGUUCGCACAACAGACUCGAAGCUUCAAGGGCGGCUUGAUCGCUGAACCCUCGGUCGAGAAGAUUCUGAAGGCCAUUCUUACAAAGAAGAUAUACCCUCAAAGCUCCGCUCCAACAUUAAUGAAGAAGAGGUACUCGGACAACAAAUCCAUGGAACAAGUGCAGGCAGGGAAAUGGGUUAAAACGGAUUCCGAGUAUAUUGUUCUUGAGAUCUAAAAAGUAGCGCACCUCUUUGUCUCCGUCGAGGCGUUCUGGUGAUUAACGCAUCAUUACGUAAUCGAUUAAUCUCGUGAUCGAACUUGUGUAACUGUGUUUUUCAAUGUAAUGAAAAAUAAGUGUAAAGGAAAACUG